GUUUGCUAUUGGUAAAAUAUAUAUAUAGAGAGAGAUAUAUCAAGGGAAGGCGAGCAAAUGGUUUUGGAUCUGACAGUCCACCUCAGAUUCUUCUCAAAAUCACUUCAGAAGUACCUAAACAGUGGGAGAUUAAGUUUGAGUUUUCCUUUGUGUAUGGAGUGGACCCAAACCUACGCAGAUCUGUUUUAUUGGCAUGGGAACGUGAGAUUAAAAGAGAAACUUGACUGUCUAUUGGGGGAAGAAAAAAAACCCUCCAUUGAACAAUGAAGUUAGUUGCUUUGCAGGAGGCAAACACUCAGACAUUUGAUUAGAAAGUUACGCAAAAUGUGUAUCAGAAUAAAACCAGGAACAUCUGGGAUGAUUUGCACAGCAUGCGGAAUCUGGGCUAUGAAGUAUGAAUUCCUGAUAAUUAAAUGAUUUCCAGAACCUUGUUCUCCAGGACUGCGGUGGACUGCCCUCCUUGAAGAAACCACCCACGUAAUAAUGACCCCGGAGAGCAAAACAAAACCCAACUGGCUUCAAUGC